rnacentral:ncRNA from 1 species
CACUGCGCCCCGCUUCGAGGUGACCCCGCGGCCAGGCCGCCGGGUUGAAACGGGAAGCCGGUGACGUCCGGCGGCGCGGAUCUGCGAUCCGGCCGCGGCCAGUCCGGCACUGCCCCCGCAACGGUAAGCGCGUCCACAGCGCGGCAACCGCCACUGUGCCACCGGCCUCGCGCCACCGGCAUGGGAAGGCGCCGCGCCGGAACCGGUCCGCCGGUUCGGCCCGCAAGUCCGGAGACCGGCCCCGAAGCCCCCACAGGU